AAUAGAUACCCUGGUAGUCCACGCCGUAAACGAUGAGUGCUAAGUGUUAGGGGGUUUCCGCCCCUUAGUGCUGCAGCUAACGCAUUAAGCACUCCGCCUGGGGAGUACGGUCGCAAGACUGAAACUCAAAGGAAUUGACGGGGGCCCGCACAAGCGGUGGAGCAUGUGGUUUAAUUCGAAGCAACGCGAAGAACCUUACCAGGUCUUGACAUCCCACUGACCGCUAUGGAGACAUAGUUUUCCCUUCGGGGACAGUGGUGACAGGUGGUGCAUGGUUGUCGUCAGCCCGUGUCGUGAGAUGUUGGGUUAAGUCCCGCAACGAGCGCAACCCUUGAUCUUAGUUGCCAUCAUUUAGUUGGGCACUCUAAGGUGACUGCCGGUGACAAACCGGAGGAAGGUGGGGAUGACGUCAAAUCAUCAUGCCCCUUAUGACCUGGGCUACACACGUGCUACAAUGGACGGUACAAACGGUUGCCAACCCGCGAGGGGAGCUAAUCCGAUAAAACCGUUCUCAGUUCGGAUUGUAGGCUGCAACUCGCCUAC
rnacentral:rRNA from 1 species